AUUGAACGCUGGCGGCAGGCCUAACACAUGCAAGUCGAGCGGAUGAAGGGAGCUUGCUCCUGGAUUCAGCGGCGGACGGGUGAGUAAUGCCUAGGAAUCUGCCUGGUAGUGGGGGAUAACGUCCGGAAACGGGCGCUAAUACCGCAUACGUCCUGAGGGAGAAAGUGGGGGAUCUUCGGACCUACCGCUAUCAGAUGAGCCUAGUCGGAUUAGCUAGUUGGUGGGGUAAAGGCCUACCAAGGCGACGAUCCGUAACUGGUCUGAGAGGAUGAUCAGUCACACUGGAACUGAGACACGGUCCAGACUCCUACGGGAGGCAGCAGUGGGGAAUAUUGGACAAUGGGCGAAAGCCUGAUCCAGCCAUGCCGCGUGUGUGAAGAAGGUCUUCGGAUUGUAAAGCACUUUAAGUUGGGAGGAAGGGCAGUAAGUUAAUACCUUGCUGUUUUGACGUUACCAACAGAAUAAGCACCGGCUAACUUCGUG
rnacentral:rRNA from 1 species